UAAAGUGAGGUAAUUAUUACAAAUUAGAAAGACAAAAGAUUUGUGGUAAGUCAGUUAUACUCAUUAGUCAUGGUGCUUAGGUGUGUAAGGGUAAGGGAUAGACUGACAAGGAGUGACUGAUGCUGGUAGCACACAGAUGAUAUCUUUUCUUGAACAAUAUUAUUAAAAACAUAGCACAAAUAUUUAAUAUACUAGCAAGAAUAUAUGCAGCAAACAAAUCAACGGCUGGUCUACAAAUGAGAAAAGCUGCAUAGUGAAGAAAAGCAAUUCAUUCACUAGAGAAGCUGAAAGUCAAAAAGACAGAGAGAGUAAAAAAAAUGUGAAAGGCAGCAAAUGGAGUGCCUGUGGAAGAAAACACUCCCACCAUUCCAGAAAGAAAGAUAUAUUGCCUGCCGGGAAAAUGAGCCAUUUAUGGUUGGCAGGAAGAAGGAGGGUAAAAAGAGCAGAAUAUCUACCAAUGAGAAAGAGACACAUUGGCCAUGAGAAAUAAACAGAGUAUUAAAUGACACGGGGAGGAGACAGAAAGCGAGGCAGUGAGAGCCAUGGAGCUGCUGUUUAAAGGAGAAAGCAGCCCAAAAUCACACAAGGAGUGCCGCAAUGGGCUUUACCAGGCCCUGUUUGUUGACAGCCCCCGGAAGCCUUGACUCCCUAAGAAGACAAGAAAAAAACUUCAUCCCCACCACACACACACAAAAAAAACCCUAGCAGGGAAAAAAUGGAAGAAAUCUUGGAAAAGGCUAUUCAGAGAGCGACCCCUUAUCAGGCAGAUGAAGUGAAUCCACAACUUCAGGGUUUGAAGUCCAGAGUCCAAGGCCUUAACUUGUAGCAUAAGUGGGAGCAUGAAGCCACUAGUAAAAAACAAAACAAUGUUAUCUGAAAGUAAUACAAAAUUUGAACACCAACUGGAACUUUAAACCCCACCACCAACUGGACCCUGGACACACUGGAGCACUGAACCUGCUGAUCUACUAAACACCAGAACUUUUGAACUGCGGCCUUCAAGCUCUCCUGAACUGUCCCUCCUUUUCUACUUUGCAUUCGUGGACAUGAUCUCUUAGGGUGUAAACUCUUGUUUUACUAUUUUUUUAUUUAGGCCAUUUUACCCCACUUCAAAUUAUAAGCUUACAGUCUAUGAUCAGAAUUGCUUAAUCUAGUGCAAAGUCCAAGCUUAAAGCUAUUCCAUGGCACAAGGCAGGAAUCAACUCCACUCUGGACGUUCUCUCUUGAAGUACAGUACAUGCUCACACCCACAUUAAUGCAGUACCAUUUUUGAGUUAUCACUUAACCAAAACUACACAUCUUUACAAUGUGAGAGAAGAACACUGAGAAAAUACAUAUGGAGAUAUGAAAAUGUCUUUGAAGAAGUGAACCAUAUAAAUGAUAUAAAGCGUGUUUAUGCAAGACAGCUUUGUAGCACUGUGGCAAAGAAUGAACAGAUGUUAUGUACUUCAGUCAGCCCAGUGUUUUCGUUUCAUUUUAUUUUUUUCACAUACAGACAUUUGCUCCUCCUGUCCAAAUACCCUUUACAGUAUAUAACCAUAGUAAACGUGGCAGCUUUCCAAGCUACUAUCAUACGUCCGUCUGCUACAAAACAGAUUGUAUGAGACACAGAGAGGUGGAGUUUGUGACAAAUAAGGCAUUCAGUGUGUGUGUGUGUUCAUGUGAGAGAAAAUGCAGUGGAAAAACAGGAGAACGAGUGCUGCUUACAAGAAAGUGAGAGUGAAAGAAACACACAGAAGGCAGAGUUCAGAAGCCAACCUAAAGUGAAAUCAGUGAAUGAAACCAGCAGCAAACAUGAACUGCUCUUUAAUUAAACUUCCUCUGGAUCACAGUCUGUGGAAUUUAGAAAUGUUUUUGUUAAAGAAGCAGAGGAUGGGGAGGCACGUUGUAGAGUGCUCAUCAGUGCUAUUUCAUAGCUCCAAGAACCUGCCUUUCAAAUUCCCAGUCUGAUCACUAUGCAGAGUUUGCACAGUUUCAAAUUGUCUCCACCAGUUUCGUCUGUUAUGCCAGACACUUGUAGUUUAGAUUAUUUUAUGAAAUAUCUGUCUUUGCUCUGUGACUCAAAGGCAUUCCAACUGGGACUAUUUUUCCAUGAGGCUGAUAAAGUUAAGAAUUUGAACUUUGAACUUUUUUGUGAAGCCACACAGUUGCUAGGAAUUUUUCUUGGUGUUACAUCCAUACACUAACAAGUUACAUAAUAGAAAGAAACAACUCAAUAUACAAUACAUGACGCCAUCACAGCAUUAUAUACAGUAAGCACAGAUACAUAAAACAAUAUGGUAAAGUAGAAUUGCACUCCUGGCCAGGAGUAUAUUAGGUAAGUUCUAUAUACAAUAAAAUAUAAUUUUUAUUAAAUGGAGCAUCAAGAGGAGUCAGAUGA